rnacentral:rRNA from 1 species
UACGGAGGAUCCGAGCGUUAUCCGGAUUUAUUGGGUUUAAAGGGUGCACAGGCGGGAGAUUAAGUCGGCGGUGAAAUUUUGCAGCUCAACUGUAAAAGUGCCUUCGAAACUGGUUUCCUUGAGUGUAGAUGAAGUAGGCGGAAUUUGUGGUGUAGCGGUGAAAUGCAUAGAUAUCACGAGGAACUCCGAUUGCGCAGGCAGCUUACUAAACUACUACUGACGCUCAGGCACGAAGGCGUGGGGAUCAAACAGGAUUAGAUACCCGCGUA